AGAGUUUGAUCCUGGCUCAGGACGAACGCUGGCGGCGUGCUUAACACAUGCAAGUCGAACGGUGAUCUCCGCUUGCGGGGUGAUCAGUGGCGAACGGGUGAGUAACACGUGGGCAACCUGCCCCCGGCUCUGGGAUAACUCCAAGAAAUUGGGGCUAAUACCGGAUGUGACCGCUGACCGCAUGGUCUGGUGGUGGAAAGGGUUUCCGGCUGGGGAUGGGCCCGCGGCCUAUCAGCUUGUUGGUGGGGUAGUGGCCUACCAAGGCGACGACGGGUAGCCGGCCUGAGAGGGUGACCGGCCACACUGGGACUGAGACACGGCCCAGACUCCUACGGGAGGCAGCAGUGGGGAAUAUUGCGCAAUGGGCGGAAGCCUGACGCAGCGACGCCGCGUGGGGGAUGACGGCCUUCGGGUUGUAAACCUCUUUCAGCAGGGACGAAGCGCAAGUGACGGUACCUGCAGAAGAAGCACCGGCCAACUACGUGCCAGCAGCCGCGGUAAUACGUAGGGUGCAAGCGUUGUCCGGAAUUAUUGGGCGUAAAGAGCUCGUAGGCGGUUUGUCGCGUCGGCUGUGAAAACCCGGAGCUCAACUCCGGGCCUGCAGUCGAUACGGGCAGACUCGAGUGUUGCAGGGGAGACUGGAAUUCCUGGUGUAGCGGUGAAAUGCGCGAUAUCAGGAGGAACACCGGUGGCGAAGGCGGGUCUCUGGGCAACAACUGACGCUGAGGAGCGAAAGCGUGGGGAGCGAACAGGAUUAGAUACCCUAGUAGUCC
rnacentral:rRNA from 1 species